GGGACAAACACAAGAACACUCAAAAGUAAGGGAAGAUGUGAACCUAAUGGUAUACCUAAAGCUUUGAUUACCACAUGAUGAGAAUAAGGGUGACCCGAUCUUCUGAAAGGUUUUGGUAACUCUCGAUUUGGUGGAGACGAGACACAAAUUGAUACGGCUUCCGAAUAAUAUGAUCCGAAACGCUGCAAAGUUUUUUUAUUUUUUUGAUAUUUUUCUUUUAGUUAGGAGCACUAGAGGAGUAACCACAGAAAAUUUGAGCUUAAACAAGUGAAAGACAUGGCCUGCGGAAUUUUUUGAAGAUUGUGAAAAAUGUG
rnacentral:lncRNA from 1 species